AGAGUUUGAUCCUGGCUCAGGAUGAACGCUAGCUACAGGCUUAACACAUGCAAGUCGAGGGGAAACGACAUCGAAAGCUUGCUUUUGAUGGGCGUCGACCGGCGCACGGGUGAGUAACGCGUAUCCAACCUGCCCAUCACUUGGGGAUAACCUUGCGAAAGUAAGACUAAUACCCAAUGAUAUCUCUAGAAGACAUCUGAAGGAGAUUAAAGAUUUAUCGGUGAUGGAUGGGGAUGCGUCUGAUUAGCUUGUUGGCGGGGUAACGGCCCACCAAGGCAACGAUCAGUAGGGGUUCUGAGAGGAAGGUCCCCCACAUUGGAACUGAGACACGGUCCAAACUCCUACGGGAGGCAGCAGUGAGGAAUAUUGGUCAAUGGACGAGAGUCUGAACCAGCCAAGUAGCGUGCAGGAUGACGGCCCUAUGGGUUGUAAACUGCUUUUAUAAGGGAAUAAAGUGAGUCUCGUGAGACUUUUUGCAUGUACCUUAUGAAUAAGGACCGGCUAAUUCCGUGCCAGCAGCCGCGGUAAUACGGAAGGUCCGGGCGUUAUCCGGAUUUAUUGGGUUUAAAGGGAGCGUAGGCCGGAGAUUAAGCGUGUUGUGAAAUGUAGAUGCUCAACAUCUGCACUGCAGCGCGAACUGGUUUCCUUGAGUACGCACAAAGUGGGCGGAAUUCGUGGUGUAGCGGUGAAAUGCUUAGAUAUCACGAAGAACUCCGAUUGCGAAGGCAGCUCACUGGAGCGCAACUGACGCUGAAGCUCGAAAGUGCGGGUAUCGAACAGGAUUAGAUACCCUGGUAGUCCGCACGGUAAACGAUGGAUGCCCGCUGUUGGUCUGAAUAGGUCAGCGGCCAAGCGAAAGCAUUAAGCAUCCCACCUGGGGAGUACGCCGGCAACGGUGAAACUCAAAGGAAUUGACGG
rnacentral:rRNA from 1 species